GGAUGCUCCUGUACUUUGCAGCCACCGUGAAGGCAAAUAAAUGAAUGCUGAUUCAGAUUGUGCCCUCAUUUCCUACCUCAUGGUGAUGUCAUGACUCAUAUAUUGGCAGAAAGAGAAGGAAGAUGAGUACAGAACCUCCUGACAACAGGCAGGAAGUGGUGGAUACAUCCACAUGUUCUAGAUGGAGAUACAUGAUCUGCACUCAAAUUCAGGGUCAACCCUUUAAACAGAAUGGACAGAGGGCCACCAGCAGCAUGAAUGGAGAGAACUGAGAAGGCUCUUCCUCCUUUGCACAAUGGGAUAAGGUUUUUCUCUAGUUGCUCUGACCUCAUACUCCUCAUCACAGAGGACUUUCUGAGGGAUGGAAUCCAGCCAGAAACUACAACCAAUGCUGCAUCGCUGUAACUCCACCCGUUCUGCUAUAUGAUACUAUCAUGCCAUGUUUGGCCGAUGGAUCUGUGCCAGUCUGAAGGAAUGAGAAAGCACUAUCCGUUUUCAAUAACAAGUGACAUAAUUUGUGUGGCACUAUCAUCAAACACUGCUUCAGUUUCUACCGCUCUGUUCCUAUACCUCUUUUAUUCAGUACCAGCUUUUAAAGAAAGGAACGAGACAACAUAUUAGAAAUGGAACAUCAUCAUUUUUUGCAUUUAAUUUAAACAACAACACUGAG